AUAAAUAAAUAAAUAAAAGAGGAACCAAAACUAAGGGCCAUAUUCGACUUUUAGAUAUAUCUAAUUAAAAUUAUUUGAUAACAGGAUUUUAUAUUAAUCCAUGAACCAUUUGCUCAAAUCAAUGGAAGUAUGAAACAAAUGCGAGAUUUAGACACUGACCUAGGCAAGAAUAGACUGAGCAGUGAAUUAAGUAAGGUGGGACAAACCAAAAGUAAUUUAUAUACACAUCAUUCCUUACAUAUCUACUUAAUUGUAGAUAUCAAGACACUACUACUUACUCCAAAUGACUUAAAGAGAUAUAAACACAUCAUUUUGCACAAUUUAUCAAGGGAUUAUUUGCUAAAUUUUAUAAAAACGUAGAUAUAAACCACAUUAUUUGCUAUCAG
rnacentral:misc_RNA from 1 species